UAUACAUUUUGGCUAAAUCAGUUUAAAUAUUCAUUGGAAAAUCUAAUGUGAAACGAUGAUACAUUUUGGCGUUUAAGAAAAUAAUAAUGGCUAUAAAACGGCCGAACACAAGCCCUACAACUUCAAAUAAAUCGCCCAUACCAGCCCCUGACUGUAUUAAAUGCAUAUUGUCAACUCAUAUUUUCUAUGUAUGCUCCCAAAUGACCCCUUCGCCGGGAUAUUGUCGAAUGUUAAUAGAUUUAGAUAUCAAAUAUUAUUUGUUAUAGAAAAGUCACUUAAACCAACAAUACCGAAUCCAAGGCCUACUUCACCAUCCACCGGUAAAGACAACUCUUCUUCCAUGUUGAUCGGAAUCAUAUGUGGUUGUCUUGCUGUUCUUAUUAUCGUUCUGUUAGCCGUCGGGUGUGUGGUAUUAUCGAAAAGAAGAAAGAAAGCCCCGACGAGAGAAGGUUCUUAUAGUGUACAUAUACAGGAGCGACGACCGUCCUGUGUACGACAAUCUGGCUGGUUCCAAUCACGGUGAUGCUCCAUCUGAAGCUAUUGCUGAACCGGUUGAGUACGCCUGUGUUGUUAAAAAGGAAGAGAGAAAAAUUACAAAACCUGAGGCCGAGGAUAGUGCACUCAUCUACGCUGAUCUUGAUCUACCCGCAGAGGGUUCCACACGAGGGAUUCCAACAGUGAAUUUUGACGCCGGGACAACAUACGUUUCAAUUGAUUUUGCUCAGACGGCUAAAAUGAAAGGAUCUGUGUUAGACGAUUAGUUAAAUGAAUAUCCACGAGGAAAAUGACCCGAUUACUUUUUGUGUAUUGAUGUAACGUUGCUAGAUUGUUAUAUUACACGUGAAUCACUAAUCAUACUUUGAAAGCUAAUUGUGAUAUUUUAACGUAGUUCUGCUCCUUUUAAAUUGGUUGACACCGAUGUCACAUAUACUUUAUAUAAAAUAAAUGUAAUCCUAUACAGAGCCCUUGUUCGAACAUUAAUAAUGCAUGAGAACUGAACUGUAACAAUAUCAUUGAUUAUAUUCAGUUUGCUUACCAUUCAAUGUAUAUAGAAUGGGUCGUAACUGAUGUUGUUAAAACUAGUCGCCAAAUCAUUGUUCAUGUAAAUACUGAUGAACGUUUACUAUGCUACAUUACAAUGCUUCUUUUAACUUUGUCUUCUUUAUUGCAUUGUGUUAAUGUAUCUCAUGCAAUAACGUAUGAUUCUGACCUUUUUUUCAACAUGUUUGUAGACACUUCAUUUUUUAAUCCAAAUUAAAUCUUAUCAAAAUGUCACAAUCUACAAUUAAGAUUUGCACUG